rnacentral:rRNA from 1 species
GACGAACGCUGGCGGCGUGCCUAAUACAUGCAAGUCGAGCGCAGGAAACUGACGGAACUCUUCGGAGGGAAGGCAGUGGAAUGAGCGGCGGACGGGUGAGUAACACGUAAGGAACCUGCCUCAAGGAUUGGGAUAACUCCGAGAAAUCGGAGCUAAUACCGGAUAGUUCAACGGACCGCAUGGUCCGCUGAUGAAAGGCGCUUCGGCGUCACCUUGAGAUGGCCUUGCGGUGCAUUAGCUAGUUGGUGGGGUAACGGCCCACCAAGGCGACGAUGCAUAGCCGACCUGAGAGGGUGAUCGGCCACACUGGGACCGAGACACGGCCCAGACUCCUACGGGAGGCAGCAGUAGGGAAUCUUCCACAAUGGACGAAAGUCUGAUGGAGCAACGCCGCGUGAGUGAUGAAGGUUUUCGGAUCGUAAAACUCUGUUGUAAGGGAAGAACACGUACGAGAGGGAAUGCUCGUACCUUGACGGUACCUUACGAGAAAGCCACGGCUAACUACGUGCCAGCAGCCGCAGUAA